CCUACGGGGGGCAGCAGUAGGGAAUCUUUCACAAUGGGCGAAAGCCUGAUGGAGCAACGCCGCGUGCAGGAUGAAGGCCUUCGGGUUGUAAACUGCUUUUAUAAGCGAGAAAUAUGAUGGUAACUUAUGAAUAAGGAUCGGCUAACUACGUGCCAGCAGCCGCGGUCAUACGUAGGAUCCGAGCAUUAUCCGGAGUGACUGGGUGUAAAGAGUUGCGUAGGUGACAUAAUAAGUAGCUAGUGAAAUCUGGUGGCUCAACCAUUCAGACUAUUAGCUAAACUGUUAAGCUCGAGACCGUUAGGGGUAACUGGAAUUUCUAGUGUAGGAGUGAAAUCCGUAGAUAUUAGAAGGAACACCAAUAGCGUAGGCAGGUUGCUGGGACGGUUCUGACACUAAGGCACGAAAGCGUAGGGAGCAAACGGGAUUAGAUACCCGAGUAGUC
rnacentral:rRNA from 1 species